GAGAAGCCGAAGUCCAUCGGCGGCAAUCGCUGGAAAGCCACUGCGGAAGACCGUCCCUGUGCCCAUCGAGAUUUCUUGUCAGAAAAGCUUCGCUGGCGUUGAAGGUGAGCCUCCUCCCCUUUCUUUCUUCUCUCCCUUCCUUCCCGUGCCGGUGUGCAUACUCGUCGGCGACCAAAGUUGUUGAAUUUUGUCAAAAUAGAGGAUUCAGUUUUUUUUUUUUCAAGCGCCGGUGGU
rnacentral:lncRNA from 1 species